CACAAGUAGCCUAAAGUGCAGCUUUGUUCAGAGGACAAUUAUCCACAGCUCAAAGCAUUUCAGAGAACAUAAUGAAGAUUGCACAUAUACCUCUAGAAGUCACUCUGCACAGACAAACAGAAAGAAAUAUAGAGCAAAAAUCCCAAAAUUAUAAAGAAAUUGCAAAGCUCUGAGAUAUUCUGCGGGGACCAGAGUAAGAAUGUGAAGAAGCCAUCCUUGACAGAAAUAAAAGAAUGGAAGAACAGACUGCACUUGGGAAGUGUGAAUAGAAUUUUCUUAGUGAUUAGCUUGAUUCCUCACUUAAAAAAUCCAAUAUGGUCCUACAUCUAGAGGCGACUUUUUCAAUGCUUUAAAAAAUGGAAAAAUGAUUUAUGGUAAUACAUCACAUAGUAUUUCUAUGGCAAACAGGUAUUGGACCAGAGAGAUUAUCACGUUACAAAGGAGAAAUGAAAUAAAGAUCAUAUCCAUGUCCUGGGCUUGCAGAAGACCUCCAAGAGGAAGGAUCCCCAGCUAGAGAUCCUUCCUCCUUUGGAGUCAGCCCUUAAAUGGGGUCUAGGAGGUCACUCUUCCGGUCACUCAGGUGAAAUUGUGUUCAUCUGUGCCCCUGCAGCUGACUCAGUGCUUGCCUCAGGUGGUCAAUCAGAGGUUCAGGCCAUGAUUCAACUGUUCCCAUACACAAUUGCACUUUGACAAGAAUAAAUGAUGUUUUAAAAUUUUAUAAUGCAUCUGUUUGCCCAAGUAAUCCAUAGGUGUGGUACCUUUACUUGAUAGGGGCCUACAUUUAUAUACUUCCCUAAUACAAGCAUUAUUUAGCAAUCAGUCUGAUUAAAAAUAAUAUAAAAAUUAAUGAAAUAAAUGAACUAUUUAAUAAAUUAAAUAAAUGCAAAAAAAAAAAGUAUACAUAUAAAUUAAGUAUUUUACAUCUGAUUGGAAGCCAUUAUUUUAGUUGUGUAUUUCACUGCAAUAUAAUUUGAAUAAAUUAUACUAAAAUGCUGGGGUUUAUAAUACAUCUUUUUCUACUAUUUACAAAUACCAUAAAAAGAAGUAUGUUUUAUAUUACCAUAAAAAGAGAGUUUUGACUGAUUUUGCCUUUAUUUUUUUAAAUGUAAGUAACAUUCUGUUCCUUCUUCCCCUACUUCCCAUCUUCCUACUUCCCUAGUUUUCUGUGUAACAGAACAUAAGAUCUGACACAGAACCCUAUGAAAACAGGAUUCAUUUAGAAAGCAUCCAACCUCAUCUAUUUUUAUCUUUAUUAGACUGCAUAUUAUGUCAUCUACCUGCUUUGGUGCUGUCCAAAUUCCAAUCAGCUCCUUUAGUUUACUGUUUAUUACAGGUACAGAGAUGACACCAUGUUCAGCCUAACCAACGUAGAGGAUUAUUUUAGGAUUUAUAUUGGUUAGAUAAAAUAUAUCUGGCAUGAAAUUGGCCUAAAAUAUUCUAUAUAAGGAGUAGAGGAAGACUGCAUCUUCUGCCUUUUAAAUAUGAAUUUAAGACAAAGACUACAUUUCAAGGUCUUUAAUGGGUUGUAGUAGGAUGUAUAUCGUAGGACAUAUUAGUUCAGCUAUAACGAAUGAACUACUUUUUUUUUUUUUAAUUUCUGAAAUGUAGUUUAAUUUAUAAAAAGACAGAAAUAUUCAGAUCUGUUGAGUUUUUAGGAAGAAAGGUCUGGUCAGCUAUCUGAAUAUCUGAAUAGUAUUUGAAAAAUUUGGUAUUUGAAAAAUUUCAGUUUAUAUGCUUGGGGUGAGAUGCUAAAGAUACCUAUUACACAUUCAUGCAGGUAUCUUCAUCUUCUCCAGAUCAUUCAUGCUAGUGAAGAAAUCUUCUGUAAAACUUUCCACUCCUUUCUGCUUGUCUGUGAGUAUGCUGGUAAACCAACAUACUGGGAUCAACUGUAAGCAUUUCUAAUUAAUUCUUAGGGAAACACAUCUACUUGUACAUAUGUUUAUAUUAUCAUUAGUUAAAUGCAGUUAUGAGCAAUAUUUACAUUAUUUUGUGUAAUGACAUUUCUCUACAUGAUUUCUCUAUAAAAUGUUUCAGAUGCUCAUUAAUUAAAAUCUUAUGAUCUUGUAAGAAUUUCCUGACCAGAUUUUUGAAAUUUCAAAGCUUGAUUUUCACCUCUAUUCAGAAAUUAGUUUUUUACAUUGGAUUAAUAUUGCAAAAUCAAAUUCUUCCCUCUCCUAUUCCUGGUUACUGCAUUAAAAAUUGGUUUAGAAAAUCCGUACAGCCUAGAAACCUUCUGCACUGUUUGUAUAAUUCCAUGUUGACCUCCAGCAUAAGCUGCAGCUUCCAGGAAUGUCUAUGAAUGAAAGACUUCUCCAGUAAUCUGGGGAAAUAAUAGCAUCUUCUUGGACCAGCAGCCUUUAACAGCUUUCUGACAAAUACCUGGCACUCUGUUCUCCUCUGGUGUUUUUCCCUUGCUUCCAUUUUGGAGGCUAAAGAAAUAUGGAUCGGAAAAAUGGAAUUGUAAGAAGAUUAAAAAAUUGCCUGGACUACUAGGCUUAAGGGACAGUCAUCCCUAUAUGGAUAGUGAAUACCUCAUGAGGUACCAGAGCCUAUAUUUCUCAACAGAUAGGGAAGUUACUCAGAAAGGCUCUUCCUGGAGGUUGCUGAUUAGACAAAGAUGCGGCUGACCUGAUUCAGUGCUGGUGAGUAUCCCACUGCAACACAGAAUUGAUCUAGAGAAUUCCACAGAACUGCAGGGUCUUCUCAACUUCCUAUCAUGACAAACUGCUCUUGCGACAGGCAUUCUUAACUCUUGGCAUAAGAUCUGUAAGUUUACUUUUUACAUUAUCUGCUUGUUUGAGAAAUGCAAAAGUUGCCUCUGUGUUAGAAAACUGCCCUGACAAUAUUAUUUUUGGUUUAUAUUCAAUUAAUAGACUGCUGCAGGUUUUUCAUCACACUUCCAGAAAGAACUGAUAAUCUUGAGUUAAGGGUGUACACUGUUAAACAAAAGAGCUUCUUAUUCAGCUGUAUGUGUUAAUAAUCUUUGAUGAAUGGGGAUCCAUUAAUGCCUGUCUUUACUUGCUUCUCCACUAAUGAUAGCAUAUUCAGUAAAAUGUGUAUUAAUUUUGAGUGUUUUAGAACACAAAAUGACAAAAAAAUAGACAGGUCUAUUCUUCUUAAGUUGUUUCAGUAAUUUUUUUUAGCUAUUGUGGUUUUCCUAGGUGAAUUGCAGUUUACUGUAGAGCGUGCAUGAUGUAUUGAUAUACAUAGGAAAAUUCCCUGCAUGACAAAGUGCAAAAAUAUUCAGUGGUUUCUUGAUUAUAAAUAUAGAUCAUUAAAUCAAGAAUAAAAUAUCCAAACAAUUUAAAUCUGAUAUCAACUGCAUCUGUCUAAAAGAAUCCAUACCUGAAGUAAGCACUUUGUUAACACUCAAUCUUAUAUAACAUGGAACUAUUAAACAAAUUCAAAGACAAAGUGAUGUAGGUGAGAAAGGCUUUUGAGGUAGAAACUAGGGUAUGGAAAAUAAAUUGGGUAGUUUAUAAAGCGACAAAAAGUAAAUUGCUUUGGUUUAUCUGUUCAUUUACUGUUACUGAAGCACAGUUUUCUGGGUAUUAAAAUACAAUAAAUAUUUUUAAAACAGACAGCUUAGGGGCUAUGGAUGUACAGAUAUAGAACAAACUGCAAGGGGAAAUUUUCAAUAUAGCUUGCUUUGUUGCAAACAGCAUAGUUUCCUUGCAAGAAUUUUUAAAAAUCUUGUCAUGAAGACCUUUCAUAUCUCUUUUAGCAGAAGGAAUGUCACCAUUUUUCCUUGUAGGCAUGUAUUCUCUGUAACUCACAAAAUUUAGUUUCAGUUAUGCAUUAAAAAAUCAGUAAACAUGACCAUCUUACUUCUCUUGCUUUCUGUGGUCUUCUCAUGUAUUUUUUAGCUGAACGAACCCAUAAACUAUCUGUCUGCUUCUUUAAUUAGUAGAGGAUGUAACAAGAUUGUUUGGGAUGCCUUUGGAAGGUCCAGAAUAGUGACAACUUUAGGAAGACAAUGAUUAGAAUUACAAAGACAUUCAGUUAGAUUCUUCUGAAGAUCAAGAAAACUUGUUCCCUACUGCAAAAUUAUUUUGACACAUCGUUUGCUCUUUAUGUUGAUAUUUUCGUUCUGCUGUUGUAAUUAUUGUUGUGUGGUAUUCAUGAUCUUUGGUGCCUGGUGGUUCACUCAGGAAAAAGCAGUUAUUUUAUUUGGAUUCAGAAAACUAUUUCAUCCUGCGUAGCAUGCCAAGGACUAGCACAUAUACAGCCUUCUCUGCCGCAUGAGUAUGGAUUGCCUGCUAGGUUCAUCUAGGCAUAGCUCAAUUCAUCUGUCCUCUGCUAAUGUAACUAAUGCUAUGUAACUAAUGUAACUAAAUUAUGUAACAAGUGGCAGUCUGUGCUGAAAGUCUUCACAUAAAACAGUUGGUGAAUUUAUUUCUACAUUAUCAACUAACAAUUUACUUAAAUACCACAUUAUUUCUUUAUUUAAUACAGACAUAGCUUUCAUUUUUUAAUCUCUCAUAUGACAGUAUGUGGAAGUUCACACCAAAAAAACUAUUAAAGCUUCAAUAUCUUGAAAAAGUACUACAUUACAGUGAUUUCUUUUACAGCCUUACUUACAGAUAUGAUGAGGUUCUUUUCCAGUGCUUUAUAUGCUGAUUCAUUUCUGACAUAUGAAAUUAGUUGUAUUAUACCUACUACUACUCUAUUUGACUUCUGUUCCUUAGUAGAAGGAAGCUUUAAAGCGUAUGUAAAUAAAAAAGGGAAGAAAUAUCUUGCUUCAGAAUCUGUUUGACAAUUACACAAGGCUCUGUUUACACAGUUCAGCCAGUAUAAUUAUUUGUUGUAAAUGUGAGAGAAGAUCAUUCAUACAAAUAUUGCAAUAUACAUGAUCAAAUCACUGUAGUUUUAAAUGACAUUGAAUGAUGGAGACAAAACAGACUAAAUAUGGAUUUCAGAAAGGUCUUCCUUUUAAGGACUGAAACAACCAUUAAUAUUUAUGAAUCUAUGACUUUCUGAACUCUAUGAAUCUGUUCUGAAUGUUCUGUAUUUCAGAUAAAACCUAUGCUUCUGAUAAUGUCAAGGAGGCUAGCUCAUCAGCACUGUGAGUGACAAAAUGUGCAACUUCUUCAAGGUGGUUAUACAUGUACUGUUGUCCUGCAAUGUGAAAGACUUUACAAAAUCUAAAGACUAUAAAAAUACAAUAUGACUUUGUAUGGGACUAAGGAAAAAAAAAAUCAUUUCAACCACUGUGUGUGUUUUAUGCCUGAUGUCAAGAAACUGGAAAGAAAUACAUAGAAUUGCUCAUCUGUAAAAAGUAAUACCCUGAGGAGGACCAGCAAUAAAAGUUCAAUGAAUUCAUUAUGUGAUGCAAGUUAACCUGUUGAUAAAUACAAUUUAUAAAUAAACAAUUAAAAUAAAUUACCUUGUUGAGUAAUUCCUUUACUCAGUUGUAGUCAACAUCUGCCAAAUGUGGUUGCAGCUGUAGCCUUCCCAUCUAUGGCCUUUUCCUUGGGAGUUGAUUGCAUACACAAUCUCUUGCUUGCAGUG
rnacentral:lncRNA from 1 species